GCAAGUCGAACGAUCUCUUUCUUCGGAGGGGGAUAGUGGCGAACGGGUGAGUAACGCGUGGGUAAUAUGCCUUUAGGACCGGAACAACCUACCGAAAGGUAGGCUAAUACCGGAUAAGACCACAGACCUAAUUGGUCCGGGGUUAAAGAGGGGGAUUCUGAAAAUGAACCUCUCACCUUUAGAGUAGCCCGCGUCCUAUCAGCUUGUUGGUGGGGUAAAAGCCUACCAAGGCGAUGACGGGUAGCUGGUCUGAGAGGAUGGUC
rnacentral:rRNA from 1 species